CUUCCUCCUCUUCAUCCAUUUUUCUUUUGGGAUUUCACGGGAGGAAGAUCUGUUGAAGGGUUAGGGUUUUGGUUUUGUAGGGCAUCAAUAACAAGAAGAUGACAAUCUCAGAAGAUGAAGAAGAUGCAAACUUGGCUCACUUUCUCGAAUCAGAGGUGCUCUCCAUAUCUGAUGAGGAUGAGGUUCAUCACUUAUCAUCAUCGCCACCUUUCAAUAACAACGUACAGGACGACGAGGAUGGCACGGAAGAAGUAGAAGGAGAAAACUCUUGUCUUUCCCCUUUGUCUUCAAAUAAUAAUACAAACAAGAGAUUACGCGAACUACCUGAUAGCAACGUUGGUGGUUGUGUUACUCAUCAUCAAGGAGAACCAGGAGCAGAGAAGAAAAAGAGGCAAAAGGAACCUUUUACUACUACUAGUACCAGUAAUACGACACAGGAUGAUGAUGAUCAAACUCAAAAUGCUAGAAGAUUUCCAAGCAGGCAGAUUUUGAUGCUGAAAUGUAGCACCCUAGGGUCAAAUUUCAGCAUGAUUCCUUCUGAAUUGUUUCAUAACAUUCUCAAAUUCCUUUCUUCUGAGGAUCUUAUCGCCUGCUCCUGUGUCUGUAAAUAUCUGAACUUUGCUGCAUCUGAUGAGUCGCUAUGGCGCCGACUGUAUUGUAUGAGGUGGGGUCUGUUAUCUCCUACCAACAAGUUACGUGAAUGCGCCUGGAAAAAGCUUUACAUCCAGCGUGAUGAAGAGGAUAUGGCUGAAUUUGUUAGGAAUACUCCUUCUGAGUUCAAAGAAUAUUAUAUCCAAAUGCAGGCGGCCAAGAGAAGCCAAGCACCCCUUCCUUCACAAGUGAACGAUGACCACAUAAUUCUCAAUAAAACAGUUGCUGAUCAAGUGUCUAUAUGGAGAACCAGCAGAGGCUUGCCUGACGAGGUUGUUACUGGCCAUGCUUGUUCUGGGGACACAUGCUCCUACUAUCAAAUUGGGGAACUUUUUCUCUGCGAGAAGACCGGCCGUGUUCACGUAUGUGAUGAUACUUGCAGGGAAGUUGUAUUGGAUGCUUCUAGUGGCACUUUGGUUUGUACAAUUUCUGGGCACUGCUUCGAUAGAUUGCUCUCACCUUCAGAAAUAGAACCAGAUGCUGAGUAUGAAGCAAGGAAAGACUGAUUGGAGAAGCUUUUGAGCAUGAGUUGUGACGGCUGGUGCUUUUAGCCUAACUAACUCCGUUUCUACUACUAUAAAAUUUAGGAACAACAAGGUGGUGGAACAGAUGAAGCGGAGCCAUUCAUGGGAUCAGGCCGAUUUGCUCGGGCAUAUCUGCUGGGAUAUAACUGCGCUGAUGAAAAGGAGCUGGAAGCAGUAUCGAGGUUUUGCUGAUCAUGUAGCUGUACUUGUGUGUACUGAGGAGAUGUAUUCUUGAUAAAUCUUGUACGUAGGUGUUUAUUAACACAUGACCCUAUGAAACCUUUCAGCCUCGACGCUGAACUUGUUCUUGUUGUAAAAUAUUUUUGGUUCGACUUUAAUCCUUGCAUCAGGGAAUAAACCUUUGUAUGGUUUUCUUCUAAGAGGCCAAACGGGGGGACACGCAUGUGAUAAGUUUUCUAUUA